rnacentral:rRNA from 1 species
UACAGAGGUCUCAAGCGUUGUUCGGAUUCAUUGGGCGUAAAGGGUGCGUAGGUGGCGGGGUAAGUCAGGUGUGAAAUCUCGGGGCUCAACUCCGAAACUGCACUUGAUACUGCCUUGCUCGAGUACUGGAGAGGAGAUUGGAAUUUACGGUGUAGCAGUGAAAUGCGUAGAUAUCGUAAGGAAGACCAGUGGCGAAGGCGAAUCUCUGGACAGUUACUGACACUGGGGCACGAAGGCCAGGGGAGCAAACAGG